GACAGGUGACCAGGCAGGGCAGGUGAGUGUCCCAGCAACUGUCCCUUCUCUAUAGGAGGCAUGAACCACAGGGAGCCACUGCUGGAUGAAAAGUCUGGGCUUAAGAUUCCCAUCCAGCAGGUCACAGACCCUGCUCCCUCUGCCAUCAGCAGCAUCCUGGCAGGUCACAGACCCUGCUCCCUCUGCCAUCAGCAGCAUCCUGGCAGGUCACAGACCCUGCUCCCUCUGCCAUCAGCAGCAUCCUGGCAGGUCACAGACCCUGCUCCCUCUGCCAUCAGCAGCAUCCUGGCAGGUCACAGACCCUGCUCCCUGUGCCACCAGCAGCAUCCUAUAAAUCUCCUUGGUCUCCUGAGAACUGCCUCUCCGUGAGGACACAUGGGAUGGGGUGGAAAGGAGUCCUUCAGGUCCCAAUUCGGAGCAGCCCCCAAUACCCUUCCUGUGACUGACCCAGGCUCCAGCUACAGCUGCAGCAGGGGGUGGCAGCUGUCCCCUACAGUGGCAGACUCCAAGCCAGGGAGUACUGGCAGUGAGGGGCCACCUUCUCUGGGCUCCCUGCUGCAGACCGCCCAGGGCACCACCAAGGGCUCAAAGGCUGGGGAGUUCCAGGGAGAGAGCUGCAGGGGCUGCCAGCACAGCGUCCUUUCCCCUCUCCCCUUGGCCCACUCAAUCCACCCCCAAUGAUGAACAUGAAGUAGGGGUGUGGAGGGGUGUGGUGCCCCACUGAGUGGGCCAGGCACCUGUGGCUAUAGCUGGCCCAUUGCCUCCACGGCCUCCCAGAGUGGGCACUCCGCAAGAUCCCAUGUGGCUCAGACCCCUGCAUCAGAGAGCACAGGUGUUACAGGCCCCAGACAUAGAGGUGGGGGGUGUUACAGGCCCCAGACAUAGAGCUGAGCCCGGUCCUCUGUGCUCUGGGGUGGGCAUAAGGACCAAAGCAUCCCUGAGGAGGGAACUGACAGGGCUCACAGCUAGGCUGGAAUCAGAGGCAGACAGGCAGUGCCUGGGAGCUCUGCCCUACCACACCCUACGGCCCCUCUGAGGCACUGUAGGGGACAGCUGUCCAGCAGGCAAGGGGCCUCAGAGGGCAGGUGCAGCAGUUGCUACUCUGGCCACCGGCCUGAGGGCACAGGGCCCUCUGCCUGCAACGCCUGUCCCUCCCUGCCCCAAGACAGUGGGUAGACCCCUUCUUCCCAGCCCCUCUAUCGCCAUGGCAACGCCCAGGCUUCUCCUGAGGGACAGAGCCUCUUUGUGGCAACACAAAGCCCCUUUGAGGGGAGGUGGGGGUGCAGCCCCUGGGAGCCUAUGGCCAAAGGGCCCCUGGGGGGUAAAGCAGGGCCCCCCAGCCCAGCCCUCAUCUCAGGUUGUGGAGCCAAGGAAGCUGAGAUAGGAGAGCCUUGUGGUUAGGGACUGGGACCUGGUGCUGCCCGCCCCAGCUGCCCACCAAGAAUGGUCUCUGGGUGGAUGAGCUGGACAGCCCGGGAGGUCAGGCUGGGCAGAGACAGCACUGAGGAGCCUCUCCGCAGGGGCUUGGGGGGUUCCCACUUCCUCACCCGUUGUUUUGACCAAGAACACAGUCUGCUUAGAUAAAUGGAAAAUGGCACCGGCUGGGGAGCUCCCACCAGUCAGGAAACACCCAGGCCGGCUGCAGAAACAGUGCCUGGUGGGAGACGGGGGCAGGAAGUCCUCUGUGGGAGGGCAGGCAGGGGCCAUGAGAUGGCAGCCUCCGUCUUCACGUGUCCGUCCAGGGGAAUAUGUCACUGACCUUGCUGCAGCCACAACUCUGGGACAGGCCAGUUGGAUAACAAGUAACCUCAUCAUGGCUUGCCUUGUUCCGGGGCUGGGGAAACUGAACCCUGAGGAUGAUGUAGGUCCUUGACACAGUGACAGCAUGGCUGUCCUAGCCAUGCUCCAGCCCCACAGCCAGGAAGGCAGAGGAGGCCAGGCCACAUUUUCCCAGACUCCCACCCCAGAGCCCCUCCUGUCCUGGCCUGAGGUUCCCUGCCCACCCAGCCGACUGCUGCUGACCAGGCACCUGGCAGCUCCCUGCAUUCGGGCACCCUGCCCAGAGGCCCUCCCCAGGUGACCUCAGUCUGACCCGCAGCAGCUUUGCUAACUAAGCCCCUGGGGUGGGGGGGUCAUCGGCCCCCUGUGGCAGCAUGAGGCGGUGCUAGCCCCAGGAGAGAUCCAUCCUUUUGUAGGCAAAUCUAUCCGAGUACCAGGGAGUGGGGCCAAGGGGCUACCCCCACACAGCAGUGCCUGGGUCAGCAAGCACUCCAUGCACCACCCACGGAGACUCCCACCACACCACUACCACCCUGCCUUCCCCAUUAGUAUCCGGCUCUCUGCUGACACCUGCGGGCACAAAGGUAGGGGCUGGGACUCCCCAGCUGCUGUGGCAGGGAGCGGCCAAAGGGUGGUUGCUGUGGUGGAUGGAGGCCAUGUGGUUCAGAAUGGAUCACAGGAAGGUGUGGGUGUGAGAAUAAGUCUGGGCUGACCAUAAGGGCAGGCCUGGGCAGCUGGAGGGAAGGGCUGGGACCAUGAGUGGGAGAGUGCAAUGGGGGUCUGUGAGACUGAAGAGGCUGAGGGACCACUAGAUGAAUGAGGUUCUGGGAGAGAGGGAUUCAGGCUGGAGACAGAACCACUGACAGCUUCAGCCUAUGAAGCCCAGAGACAAGACAGGUGCAAACCGCAGCGCCUCCUCCAAAGGAUCCCCCCAUCCUUCUAGAAUAAGGGGAUAAAGUCACUUUCCCAGCCAUCAUCUUCCCUGCACUGGAAGGGGCAGAACCAGGACCCAGCUCUGAAAGGCUAGAGUGCAAUGGCAUGAUCUUGGCUCACUGCAACCUCCGCCUCCCAGGUUCAAGAGAUUCUCCUGCCUCAGCCUCCUGAGUAGCUGGGAUUACAGGCAUGCACCACCACACUCGGCUAAUUUGUUGUAUUUUUAGUAGAGACAGGGUUUCUCCAUGUUGGUCAGGCUGGUCUUGAACUUGUGACCUGAUCCACCCACCUCAGCCUCCCAAAAUGGAAUUACAGGCAUGAGUCACUGCACCCGGCAGUUUUUAUUGUUUAUAAAGGACUCCGUCUAAGGUAUUUGGUGACAGAUUGUGAAUAAACUGUCUGUGAAUAAGACACACACACGCACACAUACAAGCACACCACACACGGAGACCCAGAGAUGCCCCAUGGGCACACACACCAGCAGGCACACUUGUCCACACCCACGUGGCUGCUGCUUAUCCCCUCUAGAAGUCCUGACAGGCCCUUUUUGCGGGGUGGGAGACAUCUUGGCUCCUGGUGAGGGUCAGCAUGCUUGGUAGACCCCACUCCUGUCUUGGACACCAGGCAAGGCAGACCCCUCUGAAACCCGCAGGCUAAGUCAAGCCUGUCCCUAACACCACAGUCUGCAGGACCCCCUGCCUCUAAUCCCAUGAGGUUCCUCUGGGACAGGUGGGAGUGGCUGGGCCUGUGGACCCUAAGCUUGCACAGACCCACCUGCAGGGAUAAGCACAACUUACAGCACCCUAGUGCCCAGGGAAGAUGCUUCCACCGUAGGAGGACUCGGGGAGCCGCCUCCCACUCAGUCACAUUUAGUGCAUUUCUUAGGAAACAGCUGGUAUGUGCCCUAGAAGGUUCAACUGAGCUGGGAGCAAACAAACCAUAAUGAAAAGGAGCUGCCAUAAAUAAUGAGGAUCCCAUGGAGAUCUUAAAGAAAAACAGGGCAGAGGCAGUAAACAGCAGACAGAACACUGCAGAAAACACGCAGUGUGAGGCUGGAGAGAGCACACUAACACAGUCCCCCCAACAGCAAACGGGAGAGAUGACAAGAGGAUGGUGGGAGCCACAGAAGACAGAGCCCAGGGCCAAACUUCCACAUGACAGGAGUUCCCAGAGGGGAAACCGACAGACAGUGCUCUUCCAACCACAGAAACCACCUCAACAGGAGCGCGCCCAGUGGGGCUGUCAGCAUCGGGGCUGGAAUGUGAGUUAGGGGGUGAGCUUUCUGUCCAGAAAAGAAGCCCAGGAAAUCAAAGCUGUGCCUAUCUCUGGAUUUUACAACUGAGUCUCAUUUCCUCUGGCUCCUAAAUGCGCUGUGUCCACUUCGAGGUAUAGAGAGGAGGCCUGCCCAGCCCUGACCUGCAGGCUACACUGAAGGCUGGGCCAUUCUGUUCCAGGCCGUCCGCAGGCCUUCAGGGGCCGAGUGUGGUCCCUCUGUAAAUGUCAGCCUCAACGCGCUGCCGCUUGCUGCCUGGCUCCCAUCUCUCACAGCUCAGACACUGUUUUACGAUAAGGAAGAGCUGGCAGCUUUGUUAAAACAAACAAACGCCUCUCCUCUUUAUUUGAGAUCUUUUAAAAAGUUAACCUCGCUCUGAAAUCCCAUAAGGAAAAAUUAUGGUGAGGUUUUUGGGUUUUCAGAGGCAGCAAAUUUAUCUCACCUAGAGCUCUGGACUACCCAAAGAAGCACUUUUAAGAACCAAAAGAGGCUGGGCGCGGUGCCUCACCCCUGUAAUCCCAGCACUUUGGGAGGCCAAGGCAGGCGAAUUGCCUGAGCUCAGGAGUUCAAGACCAGCCUCUGAAACAUAAUGAAAUCCCAUCUCUACUAAAAUACAAAAAAUUAGCCCAACAUAGCAGCAUAGGGGAGUUGCUUAAACCUGGGAGGCCAAGAUUGCAGUGAGCUGAGAUUGUGCCACUGCAGUCCAGCCUGGGCAAUGGAGUGAGACUCUGUCUCGGAAAAAAAAAAAAAAAAAAGAAGAGAACAACUCAGGAGUCCAUGAGGCCUUGAUAACCCGAGGGAUCCUGUACUUGCACUGCUGGGAUUCAAAUUUGGGCGCUGCCACCACCAUGAGGUUGUGAGAAGCCCUCAGCGUGCGCACAAAGAUUCCCUGAAGGGAAUAGCAGCUGCUGAUGUGUGGAAUUGAUUUUUUCAGCAAGGGCCUGCGAUUCUGAAUGCAUUAAAGGCAGCUCCAGUUGUCUGUAGCAGUCCUCUGUCAGCUGCCCGUCAGGAGCAUUUUUACUGGCUCAGGAAAUUCACGGAUCUCUGGACUGAUGACUCCAACAGAUUAGGUAUGAAUCCAAGAACCACAAAACAAAAUCUAAGCAAGCUAAACAACCACCAAACACCAAAGCAAAACGAAAAACUCCAUGUGGUCUAGUAUUCCUUUUCCUUGUAUAAUAUAUAAAACCCUAAAUACUCCACGUGCAUUUUUUAAAAACUCUAUUCGAUAUAAAAUAUGAAAUAAGCAAAAGUGCAGGAUAGAAAAUGAAUAUACAGAAAUCAGUUGCAUUUCUAUAUAUGAACAGUGAACAAUACAAAAGGGAAAUUUAAAAAACUACUCCAUUUACAAUAGCAUUAAAAAGAAUAGAAUACAUAGCACUAAACUUAAGAAACUGAAGAUCUGUACACUGAAAACUAUGAAAUAUUACAAAUAAAAAUUAAAGAAGACCUAAAUCAGUGGAAAGAUAUCCAAUGUUCAUGGUUGGGAAGAUCUACUACUGUUCCAGUGAUGAUACUACUGAAACGGAUCAACAGAUUCACUGCAAUGCCUACUAAAAUGCCAAUGACAGGCCGGGCGGUGGCUCACGCCUGUAAUCCCAGCACUGUGGGAGGCCGAGGCGGGUGGAUCACAAGGUCAAGAGAUCGAGACCAUCCUGAUCAACAUGGUGAAAUCCCAUCACUACUAAAAAUACAAAAAAUUAGCUGGGCAUGGUGGCGCAUGCCUGUAAUCCCAGCUUCUCGGGAGGCUGAGGCAGGAGAAUUGCCUGAACCCAGGAGGCGGAGGUUGCGGUGAGCCGAGAUCGCGCCAUUGCACUCCAGCCUGGGUAACAAGAGCGAAACUCCGUCUCAAAAUAAUAAAUAAAUAAAAUAAAAUAAAAUGCCAAUGACAGCCAGGCAUAGCAGUGAGUACCUGCAGUCCUAGCUACCCAGAGGCUGAGGCUAAAGACCUGCUUAAACCCAGGGGUUUAAGGCCACAGUAAGCUAGGGUCACACCACUGCAUUCCAGUCUAGAUGACAGAACAAGAUCUGUCAAAACACAAAUAAUCUGGACAUUGUUUGCAGAAAGAGAGAAAUCUAUCAUAAGAUUUAUAUUGAUCUUUAAGAAGCCCAAAGAGCCAGCUGGGCACAGUGGCUCAUGUCUGUAAUCCCAGCACUUUGUGAGGCUGAGGCAGGUGGAUCACAAGGUCAAGAGAUCAAGACCAUCUUGGCCAACAUGGUGAAACCCCGUCUCCUUAAAUAAAUAAAUAAGAAGCCCAAAGAGCCAAAACAAUCUGGAAAAAGAACAAAUUUUAAGGACUCACACUUCCUGAUUUCAAAACUUACUACAAAACUAUAGUAAUUAAAACAGUGUGAUAUUAACAUAAAGACAGACACAUAGACCAAUGGAAUAGAAUACAGAGCUCAGAAACAAUCUCUCAAGAAUAUGGUCAAAUGACCCUCAACAAAGGUGCCAAGACCAUUUACUGGGGAAAUGAUGGUCUUUUCACCAAAUGAUGGAACUGGAUACACACAUGUAAAUGAAUGAACGCAGUCCCUUCCCUUAUUUUAUAUAUAAAAAUUAACUUGAAAUAGAUGAAAGAUCUAAACAUAAGCCUCAAACUAUAAAACUCUUAGAAGAAAAUAUAGGGCAAAGUCUUCAUGACAUUGGAUUUGGCAAUAUCUUGGAUAAGAUACCAAAAACAGAGGCAACAGAAGUAAAAAUAAAUUAGACUACAUCCAAAUUUGAAAUGCCUGUUCAACAAAGGACACGAUCAAUACAGUGAAAAAACAACCCCACAGUGGGAGAACAGAUUUGUAAAUCAUAUAUCUGAUAAGGAAUUCAUACCCAGAAUAUGUAAAGAACUCCCAAAACUUAACAACAGCAAAAAAACAAAUAAUUCAAUUUAAAAAUGGGUAGAGUUGAACUGACGUUUCUCCAAAGAAGAUAUAAAAAUGGCCAAGAAGUAUGUUAAAAAUUUGCUCAACAUUUCUAAUCGUUAGAGAAGUUCACAACAAAACUUCAAUGAAAUAUCACCUUACACCCUUUAGGAUGGUUAUUCCAAAAAAAAAGGAAAAGAGCGUUGGCCAGGAAAUGGACAAAUUAAGACCCUCAUGCACUGCUGCUGGGAAUGUAAGAUCAGUAUGGCACUUCCUCAAAAAGUUAAAAAUAGAAUUACCAUAUGGUCCAGCAAUCAGAAAAUUAUGUUAUGUAUCUAAAGGAAUUGAAAGCAAGGUCUCAAAGAGAUAUGUGCACAACCAUGUUCACAGCAGCCAAAAAGGGGAAGCAACCCAAAUGUGCACCAGUGGAUGAACGGAUAAACGAAAUGUGAUACAGACAUACAAUGGAAUAUCAUGCAGCCUAAAAGAAUAAGAAAAUCCGGCCGGGCGCGGUGGCUCAAGCCUGUAGUCCCAGCACUUUGGGAGGCCGAGGCGGGUGGACCACGAGGUCAAGAGAUCGAGACCAUCCUGGUCGACAUGGUGAAACCCCGUCUUUACUAAAAUACAAAAAAUUAGCUGGGCAUGGUGGCGCGUGCCUGUAAUCCCAGCUACUCGGGAGGCUGAGGCAGGAGAAUUGCCUGAACCCAGGAGGUGGAGGUUGCGGUGAGCCGAGAUCGCGCCAUUGCACUCCAGCCUGGGUAACAAGAGCGAAACUCCGUCUCAAAAAAAAAAAAGAAUAAGAAAAUUCUUACAUGCUAUUCUCAUUAUGCUAAGUGAAAUGGGCCAGUCACAAAAAGGCAGAUACUGUGAGAUUCUAUUCAUAUAAGGCAUCUAAAGCAGUCAAAUAAUAGGAAAAGUAGAAGCAGCUCAAGAAAAGGGCAAAUGGGAGUUUUCUAAAGGGUACAGAGUUUCUGUGUUUUCUAAGAAUAAAAACAAGUUCUGAAAAUAGUUGUACAGCAAUGUAAACCAACAACGCUACUGAAUUGUACACUUGAAAUGGCUAACAUAGUAGAUUUUAUGUUACGUGUAUUCCACCAUAAUUAAAAUUAAAAAAGAGGUCCCGUCACAUAAUAAGAAAUUGCAUAAUACCCUUUUAUUUUUAUUAUUAUUUAUUUAUUUAUUUAUUUAUUUAAUUGGAGACGGAGUUUCACUCUUGUUACCCAGGCUGGAGUGCAAUGGCGCGAUCUCGGCUCACCGCAACCUCCGCCUCCUGAGUAGCUGGGAUUACAGGCACGCGCCACUCUGCCCAGCUAAUUUUUUGUAUUUUUAGUAGAGACUAAACAUGGUUUCACCAUGUUGACCAGGAUGGUCUCGAUCUCGUGACCUAGUGAUCCACCCGCCUUGGCCUCCCAAAGUGCUGGGAUUACAGGCGUGAGCCACAGCACCCGGCCUUAUUAUUUUUUUUUUAAGUCGGGGUUUCACCAUGUUGGUCAGGCUGGUCUUGAACUCCCGACCUCAGGUGAUCCGCCCGCCUUGGCCUCCAAGGUGCUUGGAUUACAGGCGUGAGCCACCACACCCAGCGCAUAAUGGCCUUUUAAAUAAAUAGUAUAUCAAAGGUAAAAAUUUAAGACUAGGCAUGGUGGCUUAUACCUGUAAUCUCAGCACUUUGAGAGGCCAAGGCAGGUGGAUUGCUGGGGCCCAGAAGUUCGAGACCAACCUGGGCAACAUGGCACAACCAUGUCUGUACAAAAAAAACAAAAUUCAGCCAAGCAUGGUGGUACACACCUGUAGUUCUAGCUAGUUGGGAAGCUGAGGUAGGAGGAUUACUGGGGCCUGGGAGGUCAAGGAUGCAGUCAGCUGUAAUCAUGCUACUGAACUCCAGCUUGGGUGACAGAGUGAGACCCUGUCUGAAAAAAAUUUAAAAAUAAAAAUAAAAAUUUAAGAAUAUAGAAUUGGCUGUUUAGAAACAGUGAAAAAAUACACUCCCUCAUCACACCUUAAAAUAUAUGGGUUAUAGCCAGAAUUGUACUCAGAGGUAAAUUCAUAGCCUUAAAUCGUUUAAUUAUCAAACAAUAAAGAAUGAAUAUGAGUAAACUACGCUCCAAACAAAAAUUCCCAUUGAAAUGACUAAGAAAACAUAAGGGAAUAAAAAUUGUACCUAUCACUGACUACCUUUCACAAGCCAGAAAUGGAGGAAUUUUCAACAGACAUUGUUCAGAGAGGACAGGACUAGAAGAAGAUACAGAAAAUUAACCUGUGAGCCCAGGAUCACACUGUCAAGUUCCCUGCUGUGCUCUCAGGCCUCCGCCUGAGUGAAGAUCUACAAAAAUCCAAACCUUCCCCUCCCUCUACAUCUGGAACUGAAAGUCAUAGAAGGGAGACAGAGACCACCUGGACUUCUGCUGGGUGACAGGCCAGGGCAGGGCAGCAGCCAGCACAGCACCUGACAUACGGCAGGUACUUGAGUUGUUUCUGCUGCACAAAGAAAGGAAGGAUGAGCAGCCGGAGAACAGUGCACUGGCCAGCCAAGCACUGCAGCUUCCCUGCGCGGGCCAGCCUGAAGAAUCAGAGCUGGGCCCUACACUGAAGGCACUUUGUCCAGGAAAUUGAAGAAGCCUCAGGAGAAGGAAUGCCCUGGGGCUCCAGAGGCUCAGAGGCGCUGCCUUGGUGAGGCCACCUCUGCAUCUAGAAUGACCAGGGAGUGGGCCACCCAAGUAAUCUGUAGAGUCCAAGGUGGAGAUGGGCAAGGAGCAAGGAUGGUGGUGUCCCAGGUACUAAUGAUGGCUUUUAUCCUGAAGGGGAUGGGAAGACUCAUGGGAGGAAGUCAUAAACAUUUGCUGAAGGGUGGGCAAGAAAACCAGGCUCAGUGCAGGAGCUUCCAAGGCUCUGGCAAAAGGAGCCCCUACCAGCUGCAGGAGAAUCGACAUGGGACACUGCUCGAAUCCCACCCAGUCCCCUCCUCACUGUCCAAGCUUGCUGUCCUCAGAUGUGGGGGACGCUCCUGUCCUACCAAGGUCGUCACUAUUGGUGGGUGAUAUAGUUUGGAUAGUUGUCCCCGCCCAAAUCUCAUGUUGAAAUGUAAUCCCCAAUUCUGGAGGAGGGGCCUGGUGGGAGAUGAUUGGAUUGUGGGGGCAGAGUUCUCAUGAAUGGUUUCACACCAUCCCCUUAGUGCUGUCCUUGCGACAGUGAGUGAAUUCUCAUGAGAUCUGGCUGUGUAAAAGUGUGUGGCACCUCCCCUCCUCUCUCUCUCCUCCUCCUGCGUUCACCAUGUGAAGUGUCUGCUCUGGAUUCCCCUUCCAUCAGGACUGGAAGCUCCCUGAGGCUCCCCCGAAGCUGAUGCUGGAGCUCUGCUCCCUGUACAGCCUGCAGAACCACGAGCCAAUUAAACAUUUUUUUUUUUUUUUUUUUUUUUUUUGGAGACGGAGUUUGGCUCUUGUUACCCAGGCUGGAGUACAAUGGCGCGAUUUCGGCUCACCGCAACCUCCACCUCCUGGGUUCAGGCAGUUCUCCUGCCUCAGCCUCCUGAGUAGCUGGGAUUACAGGCACGCGCCACCAUGCCCAGCUAAUUUUUUGUAUUUUUAGUAGAGAUGGGGUUUCACCAUGUCGACCAGGAUGGUCUCGAUCUCUUGACCUAGUGAUCCACCUGCCUCGGCCUCCCAAAGUGCUGGGAUUACAGGCGUGAGCCACAGCGCCCGGCUAAACUUUUCUUUAUAAAUUACCCAGUCUCGGCUGGGGGUGGUAGCUCACGCCUGUAAUCCAGUCACUUUGGAGGCCAAGAUGGGCAGAUCACCUGAGGUUGGGAGUUCAAGACCAGCCUGACUAACAUGGUGAAACCCCGUCUUAAAAAAAAUAAAAAUAAAAUAAAUAAAUUACCCAGUCUCGGGUAUUUAUUUCACAUAAGAACAGCCUAAUACAGUGGGGUAGAGAGGCUCUAAGUAAGCAGAGCAGGACAGGUGGGCUUAGGGUUGUGGGGGAGCACCAGCCUACAAACUGGACCUCAAGACCCAGGGUUCCCCAGGGCACACGGCUGUGAGCCUGGAUCACUGGGGCACAGGCAGCCUCCUCCCUUGCACCACACUGUGGGGCCUGCCUGCACCCACCCCCAGCAACACUGAACCUCUGGAAGACCCUAGCUUCCAGACACCAUCCCCUUAAAUCGUUUAAUUAUCAAACAAUAAAGAAUGAAUAUGAGUAAACUACGCUCCAAACAAAAAUUCCCAUUGAAAUGACCAAGAAAAGACAAAAGUCUGUGAACAUGAAGCUUUAAUUUAAAAUUAACCAAUGCCUCUGUUUCAUCGGUUUGGUAAAUAAACGUCUGGAAUUCUUUCUUCAAAUACAAAUAAUAGCUGAAUUAGUCUGGUCACAAACAAUAGUUCCCUGCAGAUGGGCAAAUACCAUGGAAAUGUCAUCAAAAAGGCUGCAAAAGGAAGGUGCGCUUGCCUGGGGAUGGGCUGGCUUGCUGAGCCUCGGUUUCCCCAGUGUAAGACACUCCCCUCCCACAUAUUCUGAGGCCCGGGAGGAAGAUGGGUCUCACCCAAGUCCCUGGCCCCAGUCGAGUCUGGACUGCAGCAGGUAGAAUGGGGCUGAGGGACUCCAGCUGAGAGAAGGUGGAACCAGGUAGGGUCCUAACCACGCCCUGUCCUCACCAGGGCACUGGACAGGUUGCCAGCCCUCC